rnacentral:misc_RNA from 1 species
AACGCACCUUGCGCCCCUUGGUAUUCCGAGGGGCAUGCCUGUUUGAGUGUCAUUAAAUUCUCAACCUUACUAGCUUUUGCGAAGUAAUGGCUUGGACUUGGGGGUCUUUUGCUGGUUUCGAAAGAGAUCUGCUCCCCUUAAAUGUAUUAGCCGGCGCCCCGCGUGGACCGUCUAUUGGUGUGAUAAUUAUCUACGCCGUUAGAUGUCUGCUAUUAAAUGGGAUGUGCUGCUUCUAAUCGUCCUCAGGACAAUUAUUGACCAUUUGACCUCAAAUCAGGUAGGACUACCCGCUGAACUUAA